rnacentral:rRNA from 1 species
GAUGAACGCUGGCGGCGUGCCUAAUACAUGCAAGUCGAGCGAACAGACGAGGAGCUUGCUCCUCUGACGUUAGCGGCAGACGGGUGAGUAACACGUGUAUAACCUACCUAUAAGACUGGGAUAACUUCGGGAAACCGGCGCUAAUACCGGAUAAUAUAUUGAACCGCAUGGUUCAAUAGUGAAAGACGGUUUUGCUGUCUCUUCUAGAUGGAUCCGCGCCGCAUUAGCUAGUUGGUAAGGUAACGGCUUACCAAGGCAACGAUGCGUAGCCGACCUGAGAGGGGGAUAGGCGACACUGGAACUGAGACACGGACCAGACUCCUACGGGAGGCAGCAGUAGGGAAUCUUCCGCAAUGGGCGAAAGCCUGACGGAGCAACGGCGCGUGAGUGAUGAAGGUCUUCGGAUCGUAAAACUCUGUUAUUAGGGAAGAACAAAUGUGUAAGUAAAUAUGCCCGUCUUGACGGUACCUAAUCAGAAAGCCACGGCUAACUACGUG